rnacentral:tRNA from 1 species
CAGGUGUAGUAUAAUGGUUAUCACAUCAGCUUCCCAAGCUGAGAAUGCGGGUUCGAUUCCCGUCACUUG